rnacentral:rRNA from 1 species
CCUACGGGAGGCAGCAGUAGGGAAUCUUCCACAAUGGGCGAAAGCCUGAUGGAGCAACGCCGCGUGGGUGAAGAAGGUCUUCGGAUCGUAAAACCCUGUUGUUAGAGAAGAAAGUGCGUGAGAGUAACUGUUCACGUUUCGACGGUAUCUAACCAGAAAGCCACGGCUAACUACGUGCCAGCAGCCGCGGUAAUACGUAGGUGGCAAGCGUUAUCCGGAUUUAUUGGGCGUAAAGGGAACGCAGGCGGGCUUGUAAGUCUGAUGGGAAAGCCUUCGGCUUAACCGGAGUAGUGCAUUGGAAACUGGGAGACUUGAGUGCAGAAGAGGAGAGUGGAAUUCCAUGUGUAGCGGUGAAAUGCGUAGAUAUAUGGAAGAACACCAGUGGCGAAAGCGGCUCUCUGGUCUGUAACUGACGCUGAGGUUCGAAAGCGUGGGUAGCAAACAGGAUUAGAUACCCCAGUAGUC